rnacentral:rRNA from 1 species
AACGAACGCUGGCGGCAUGCCUAACACAUGCAAGUCGAACGAGACCUUCGGGUCUAUUGGCGCACGGGUGCGUAACGCGUGGGAACCUGCCCUUAGGGUCGGAAUAACUCCCCGAAAGGGGUGCUAAUACCGGAUAAUGGCUUCGGACCAAAGAUUUAUCGCCUUUGGAUGGGCCCGCGUUGGAUUAGCUUGUUGGUAGGGUAAAAGCCUACCAAGGCGACGAUCCAUAGCUGGUCUGAGAGGAUGAUCAGCCACACUGGGACUGAGACACGACCCAGACUCCUACGGGAGGCAGCAGUGGGGAAUAUUGGACAAUGGGCGAAAGCCUGAUCCAGCAAUGCCGCGUGAGUGAUGAAGGCCUUAGGGUUGUAAAGCUCUUUUAACCGGGAUGAUAAUGACAGUACCGGGAGAAUAAGCUCCGGCUAACUCCGUG